rnacentral:rRNA from 1 species
AACGAACGCUGGCGGCAUGCCUAACACAUGCAAGUCGAACGAGACCUUCGGGUCUAGUGGCGCACGGGUGCGUAACGCGUGGGAACCUGCCUUUAGGUUCGGAAUAACUCAGAGAAAUUUGAGCUAAUACCGGAUGAUGUCUUCGGACCAAAGAUUUAUCGCCUUUAGAUGGGCCCGCGUUGGAUUAGCUAGUUGGUGGGGUAAAGGCCUACCAAGGCGACGAUCCAUAGCUGGUCUGAGAGGAUGAUCAGCCACACUGGGACUGAGACACGGCCCAGACUCCUACGGGAGGCAGCGGUGGGGAGUAUUGGACAAUGGGCGAAAGCCUGAUCCAGCAAUGCCGCGUGAGUGAUGAAGGCCUUAGGGUUGUAAAGCUCUUUUACCCGAGAUGAUAAUGACAGUAUCGGGAGAAUAAGCUCCGGCUAACUCCGUG